UGCUGGUUUCGGCAGCAAAUGGACAAAAGUUGGAAUGAAACAGAAGAGAUUCGCCUGCCCGCUGCACGAGGCUGACACACACGUUCAUGAAAUGUUUUGUAAUAUUUUUUU